GAGUUUGAUCGUGGCUCAGAUUGAACGCUGGCGGCAUGCCUUACACAUGCAAGUCGAACGGCAGCAUGAUCUAGCUUGCUAGAUUGAUGGCGAGUGGCGAACGGGUGAGUAAUACAUCGGAACGUGCCCUGUAGUGGGGGAUAACUAGUCGAAAGAUUAGCUAAUACCGCAUACGACCUGAGGGUGAAAGUGGGGGACCGCAAGGCCUCAUGCUAUAGGAGCGGCCGAUGUCUGAUUAGCUAGUUGGUGGGGUAAAGGCCCACCAAGGCGACGAUCAGUAGCUGGUCUGAGAGGACGAUCAGCCACACUGGGACUGAGACACGGCCCAGACUCCUACGGGAGGCAGCAGUGGGGAAUUUUGGACAAUGGGCGAAAGCCUGAUCCAGCAAUGCCGCGUGUGUGAAGAAGGCCUUCGG
rnacentral:rRNA from 1 species